rnacentral:rRNA from 1 species
GAUGAACGCUGGCGGCGUGCCUAAUACAUGCAAGUCGAGCGAACGGACGAGAAGCUUGCUUCUCUGAUGUUAGCGGCGGACGGGUGAGUAACACGUGGAUAACCUACCUAUAAGACUGGGAUAACUUCGGGAAACCGGAGCUAAUACCGGAUAAUAUUUUGAACCGCAUGGUUCAAAAGUGAAAGACGGUCUUGCUGUCACUUAUAGAUGGAUCCGCGCUGCAUUAGCUAGUUGGUAAGGUAACGGCUUACCAAGGCAACGAUGCAUAGCCGACCUGAGAGGGUGAUCGGCCACCCUGGAACUGAGACACGGUCCAGACCCCCACGGGAGGCAGCAGGAGGGAAUCUUCCGAAAGGGGCGAAAGCCUGACGGAGCAACGCCGGUGGAGUGAUGAAGUGCUUCGGAUCGUAAAACUCUUUUAUUAGGGAAAAACAAAUUUGUAAGUAACGGUGCACAUCUUGACGGUACCAAAGCAGAAAGCCACGGCUAACUACGG